rnacentral:rRNA from 1 species
UACGGGGGGGGCAAGCGUUGUUCGGAAUUACUGGGCGUAAAGGGUUCGUAGGUGGCCCGCUAAGUCAGACGUGAAAUCCCUCAGCUCAACUGGGGAACUGCGUCUGAGACUGGCGGGCUUGAGUGCAGGAGAGGAACGCGGAAUUCCAGGUGUAGCGGUGAAAUGCGUAGAUAUCUGGAGGAACACCGGUGGCGAAGGCGGCGUUCUGGACUGUUACUGACACUGAGGAACGAAAGCUAGGGGAGCGAAUGGG